GAUGAACGCUGGCGGCGUGCUUAACACAUGCAAGUCGAACGGAAAGGCCAGUGCUUGCACUGGUACUCGAGUGGCGAACGGGUGAGUAACACGUGGGUGAUCUGCCCUGCACUUCGUGAUAAGCCUGGGAAACUGGGUCUAAUACCGGAUAGGACAAUGGUUUGGAUGCCGUUGUGUAAAGUUUUUUCGGUGUGGGAUGAGCUCGCGGCCUGUCAGCUUUUUGGUGGGGUAAUGGCCUACCAAGGCGUCGACGGGUAGCCGGACUGAGAGGGGGUACGGACAGAUUGGGAGAGAGAUGCGGCCAAGAGUCCGAAGGGGGGCAGAAGGGGGGAAUAUUGGACAAAGGGAGGAAGCGUGAUGCAGCGACGCCGAGUGGGGGAUGACGGCCUUCGGGUUGUAAAAAAAGUUCGCUAGGGACAAAGCGUAUUUGUGACGGUACCUGGAGAAGAAGCACCGGCCAACUACGUG
rnacentral:rRNA from 1 species